AAGUAUGAAGCGAUUUAUUGCAUUUAGUUUCGACCUAACCUUAGGUACAUCCUACCCUUACUUU
rnacentral:tRNA from 1 species